AUGGUCCAGGCUUAAGACUGUACCUGUUAAAUAUUUUUCAGGUAUUUUCAUAUGUUCCAAGAAUUUCCCGUUUCCUACUGGAAAUGUUAUUUUAGAAGCAUGAUUUGCAAUUCAUGCAAAAUCUUACAUAGAAACUUCACUGCAGAACAGUGGUAGUCUUAUGAGGCAGUUUUAGGCACUGAAAAUGACUUAUCUGGACCUGAAUUAAGGCUUCCGUGGUUAUUUUCACACAAUCAAAUAAAUACCUCCCAAACACAUUUUAAUCAUUGCUAAUGAGCUAGUUGCUAUCGUAAGUUGUUAAAAUUUCUUCGGGGGUUUUGUUUGUUUGUUUUGUUUUGUUUGUUUUUUGCUUUUUAUUGCUGCUUUGCCUCACUAUUUUGGAAAUAAUGGUAAGACUAAAGAUCUUUAGAGCUCUUCAAAUCACUUCUUUACCUGCUAUCCAAAUGCAAGCUGUUAUCUAGGUAUUUUCUUACAUGAAUUUUAAUAAUCACUCCGGAUCUGCUCCUUAAAUGAGUAUUAAAAAAAAAAAAAAAAAAACAGGAAAAAAAAACAGGGAAAAAAAAAAAACACCACCCAAGUUCUUAUCUAUAAGAUGUGUUUUCUUAAAUGAGAAUCUUACUCCUGUUAAUACCAACAGUCUCCUCGGGAAGCGAUAGAACCAUAUGAGAAGGUGGCUUUCCCUUUUUCAUUCGAAGAUUUUGCUGUUUAUAAAUUACUGAGAUGCUCACUAAUUCUGUAUUUCAUGUAAUACCGGGGCAUCUCCUGAGAAAAAAAGCACAAGACUGUCAAACAGAGGAUUCGCUUUAGUUCUAGAGGUUUCUUGCUUGUUUGUUACGUUUUAGUGAGAGGCGCCUAGGAUUUAAAUGCAUUUGUUUUGGCCAUAACAAUUUCUGUUGUCAUAAUGUUGUACAGGUGACAGUUAUCACUGGGAUGUAUAUAAAAGUGAAAUUAGAAGGAUAUUCCAUUUCUCUGUUGUUGAAUGUGGUUCUGUUCAUCAUUCUUUGAAUUCAUAUUUCAAGCUUCAUCAAAGUUUGACAGAAGCAGGUAAGAUGUUAGAACUGUAGGUAGACUCAUGUAUGUAGCCCUGCUCUGUAUUGGAACAUUUUAGCAGGAGAGUAACAGAACUACAGCACGAAAUCCAACCAAAAUGCCAGUUCAGAAUUAACCCACACGAAUUUUAUGGGGAAAAAGAUAAAGGAUGAAUUCAUACCUUUAGGCUACAGCAGUGAUGUGCAUCGUUGUCUGCUAGGCUUCUAGCACUACUAGAAGGCUGAAGUUCAGGUUUAGUGCAUCGAGAAACUAUACAGUUGUAUAAUUUAAUGGGAAGAUAAAAACAUAUAGCAGACAGCAGAGUUUGUUGUACAGCUGCCCUCAGGAGAGACUGAGGCAAAACGCGCAGCCUGUGUGAAACUAGGGAUGCAGAAUCACCUAGAUCUUUAUUUUUGCAUUGUCUAGCUAGAGCAAGUAAGAUAGGCCUCUGUGCUCACAGGCUUGCAGUUGAGAGAUGCAAAUGAAAAAAUGUUAGAGGUAACGGCAGAUCUGGAAUAGGGUUUCUCAUAUGCCUGUUGCUAAGCUGAAUAUCGUGCUUUACUGUUUUUAUGCCUUUUGCUGGUUGGAUGGAAAAAUUUUGUCAGAAGGUAUAAGUGGGAAGAUGUAGGUGACAUGUUUCAUAGGAGUGAUAUACCACAAACCCACAGAAAUGCGCAGCUUCUCGGUGAGGAAAAAAUGUUCAAGAUUUUUAGACAGGCAAAAGAAGUUGAUACAAUUACAUGUUUGUCUUUUAUAAUAAAAUGUUGCAAUCUUGGUCUAAUUUUCAGACAUGUUAUAGCCUGAUUUAGGAAAAUGUGGAGCUCAGAUAUACAGGUGUAUACAGUAAAUUUAUAAAAAUGUUUCUGUGCAAAUCCUAUUCAACUUGUUUAUUGAUAACAAGAAAAAUAUUUUGUUAUUUAUUAAUAAAGUAUAUUUUAAUAUAAUGAG
rnacentral:lncRNA from 1 species